CCUACGGGAGGCAGCAGUGGGGAAUAUUGCGCAAUGGGCGAAAGCCUGAUGCAGCGACGCCGCGUGAGGGAUGAAGGUCUUCGGAUCGUAAACCUCUGUCAGCAGGGAAGAAAGGUCACUGUGCUAAUCAGCAGUGAAUUGACGGUACCUGCAAAGGAAGCACCGGCUAACUCCGUGCCAGCAGCCGCGGUAAUACGGAGGGUGCGAGCGUUAAUCGGAAUUACUGGGCGUAAAGCGUUAGUAGGCGGCAUGUCAAGUCAAGGGUGAAAUCCCCGGGCUUAACGUGGGAAUUGCCUUUGAAACUGGCAAACUGGAGUGUGUGAGAGGAUAGUGGAAUUCCAGGUGUAGGAGUGAAAUCCGUAGAUAUCAGGAGGAACAUCAGUGGCGAAGGCGACUAUCUGGCACAUAACUGACGCUGAGGAGCGAAAGCGUGGGUAGCAAACAGGAUUAGAUACCCUUGUAGUC
rnacentral:rRNA from 1 species